rnacentral:rRNA from 1 species
CCUACGGGAGGCAGCAGUGAGGAAUUUUCCGCAAUGGGCGAAAGCCUGACGGAGCAAUACCGCGUGAGGGAUGAAGGAUUUUGGUCUGUAAACCUCUUUUCUCAAGAAAGAAGUUCUGACGGUACUUGAGGAAUAAGCAUCGGCUAACUCCGUGCCAGCAGCCGCGGUAAUACGGGGGAUGCAAGCGUUAUCCGGAAUGAUUGGGCGUAAAGCGCCUGUAGGUUGUUUAUUAAGUCCGUUGUUAAAGCCUAGGGCUUAACCCUAGAAAAGCAAUGGAAACUAGUAGACUAGAGUAUGGCAGGGGUAGAGGGAAUUUCUAGUGUAGCGGUGAAAUGCGUAGAUAUUAGAAAGAACACCGGUGGCGAAAGCGCUCUACUGGACCAUUACUGACACUCAGAGGCGAAAGCUAGGGUAGCAAAAGGGAUUAGAUACCCCUGUAGUCCUAGCCGUAAACGAUGGAUACUAGAUGUUGUGUCAUAUAGUACUAGUAUACGUAGACUACGUACGUUAAGUAUCCGUCCGUCGGGUAGGUACGUCGUCGCGACGGUAGGUAACGUACGAAGGAAAGUAGUACGGCGUGAGACGUGUCCGACGGACGACGACGAGGGAGGUAGG